AAUACAUGAUUUAUUUAUUUAAA
rnacentral:snRNA from 1 species